CCAAAGUUUAAUAUUUGAGAGGCAUACUUACUCUUGCAACUUAUCCCAUCACACACUGCAAAGCUGGUCAGCUUUGGCACUAGCAAACAUAAAAUCUGUCAAAAUCAAAAUAUAUUUGUUCUGUGUCCUAGUAUAGUUACCGUCCUGGGCAGAGGGUUUGGAAUGUAGUUUCCAAACCAGAGACAAGAAAAGUACAAAACCAAGGAAAAAGCUAAGGAACUGUUAUGGACUGGUGGGCUAGAUUUUAGUGAUGUGUCAGGACUUUUGUAACUUGUAAAUAUAUUAUAAAUGCAAAUAGUGAAAAUGUGUGUCUUUGUAAUACACCUUCUGUAUAAUGUGAACAGGCUGUUUAGAAUUGUUUCCCGGGAGACUAUCCACAUCUCCUUUUCAUAUUGCACUGCUUUGUCUUUAGACAAUAAAUUUGGCUAAGUGCUUGUGUACACUUGAAAUGCUUCAGUGCAGAUACCACCUAUUGUGACAAAAGGGUUUCUUCUGUCAGCAUAGAUAAUCCACCUCCCUGAGACACAGUAGCAAGGUCUCCAGAAGAAUUCUUCCACUUACCUAGCACUGUCUACAUGGGGACUUAGGUUGGAUCAACUACUUCACACAUGGGGGUAGAAUCCUGAGUGACACAGAUGGGUUGAUCUAUUUUUCUAGUGUAGACCAGCCGUAAAUUUGGUUAUCUGGCCUCUUGACCAUUCUUAAGAAUAAACUGCACAUGUAGUCAAACAGUGGGCCACGGCUUUAAGACAAUAUAGUGAUAUAAACUAUGCCUGAGAAACCAUUCUGAUACCAACAGAAGCUGCAUCUACACUAGGAGGAAAUUGCAAGGCAAACUUUUUCUAGUAUAGAUCUGAUGGUUUGAUUAAGAAAACCUCAAAAUACACACUGUUGGAGAAAAGGCUGCAGAGAACCUGGAACAGUAGCUUUGGGAGGUGUGAACUUCCCCAUUCAUCUUUGGGCUUGGCUUCACUAAUUUUUGAAUGCUGAUGAACUUGAGGUGUAUAACAUUGUAAAGUCUAGUGUGAAAACUCCCCAAACUUUUGUACAAGACUACAAAGUAUUUGUACAAAGUAUCCUGAAUUGGUGACUUGGGUGUCACAAAUGGGGUGGGAUUUGAGACACAACAUAUAUUCACUACUCCUCUCUCCAUUAAGAAAGAGCCAACAAGCCCGUAGGCAAAUUUAAGCUCAAGAGAGGGAUAGCUAGGUUUAAGGAUCUCAGUGAAAUGCCACACAGUAUCAUAUCGUAAACAUCCACAGAUCCUGUGAAUAGCAUCUCAUUUUGAUUAGUCAUAUGAGCAGAGUUGUUUGUGAAUGGGGUUUAGAAUAGUAUACCCCGUCCCAGCAGUGAAAGUAACUUAACGUUUCUUACAGGUACUGUCCUAUUGCAACCCGGGUCCCUUCCAGUUCUUUAAAUAGCUCUCUGCUGGCUUUUGCUGCAGCUCAGCCAACUCUUGCUGGAGCUGUGCACCGGGGUGCACCCACUUACAUUCUACUCUGCCCUCUACCCCUCCAUUUCAAAUAUAUUACCCCUAUUAAUUUUGUUUUUCUGAAGUAAAUCUAUUAGCUCAUUCAACUUCUUGAAUUUUGUCAUAUUGCCAUAAUGGUUUCUCUCUCAUGUUCCCGCUUUCUUGUUUUGUUGAGGGGCAUGCCUGCUUUCUAAGACAGAGAGGAUGGAAGGGGAAAAAAUGUCUGUGGGGCUGAGCUGCAGGCACCAAAAGGCAGGAGCUGAGGAAAAAAAGGAGUCAACCACUGGGAAACCAGUAACAGAAUUUCCUGCGGCCUUUGCUGCCCUCAUUUGCCUCAGCAAGCAGAAACAGCCCCUAAAGCACCAGAGACAAUGAAGACAUCACUGGGUACAAAGAAAGAAAGGGAAAAAAACCUCUUAUAAAUUUCAAACUAUCAGAAAGGAAAAACUGAAGUGGUUUUGCAGAACACAAAAUAUCAGUAACAUGAAUGCAAUUUUCUUGUAACGUUUUUCAUGGACUGUCAAGCAACUAACUUCCAAAGUUGAAGAACAAAGCCACCUGACUUGCCAAGGAGGGAUCCAUAAUGGAAAGAGACCAAAGAGUUCUGGGACUUGUAGGCCACACAAGAUGUACUCAGUGGGAGGAGACAGGGACUAAAUGGACACACGCUUCAACCAAUCUUCACCCUCACAGAGAUUCUUAAGUAAGACAGUCCUGGGUUGUCCAUCCCACAGAACCCAGUCUGCAGUGAAGGAUUUCUCAGCAAUAUCAUUCACUACAUUUCCUAACUACUACUACUCUACAAUACAGCAAGACUGAGUGGGACCAGCUAGUUAGAGAUCUGGACAGAAGCAGCUCUUUGCUGAAGCAUCCUUCCAAGAUCCUUGCCGCAGUAAACAAAGAAAAAUCUGACUCCAGCCACAACAAGGUCAGGCCAGACAAACACAGAAAUUCCAAAGGGCCUUAACUAUUGCAGAAAAUGAGGCUAAACCCGGGAGCCCUGAAAUGCUUUCAUUGGCGGUUACAGGAAGAAAUACCUCCAUUCACAGACCACUGCAGUGCAGCUGAGGAGAGGAAGGGAAAUCUGCUGGAGCGGAAACAUCUGUGAAUGGCUGGAAGUAAGUGUCUGGACAAAGGAUGUGUGUACCAUUCUCCAGCACAAGCUACAGAAGACUUUUAACUAAAAGUACAUCAACACAAACCCUGAAACUGCAAAUCAAAUUGUACUUGAAUUGCAUGAGGAGUGAGGCACUAAAAAUAAAAUAAAAACUUGUUUAAAGGUCUGGCCCAUGUGGUGAUUAACAUGGCAGACUGAUGAAUGGUUUUGGUUUAUUGGUGAAGUCUCUUGUCCAGUGUAUGAGUAGCUGGCAAUGUUAUGAAACAAACCUAAUUGGACAUGCGUUAUAGAACAAGGGUGCAGAAACUGAGCCAUAGAUGCCUUAGAGCUAUAGAUGUCCAGAUAAGGCAGCAAAGGUCUUCUGUUCUGGAGUGAAAUUCAGACCAG